GCCCCCCAAGCUCCGCCCACCCCCGGGACCCCCAGCCCCGCCCCCACCGGGACCUCCCAAAGCUCCACCCCAGGCUCCGCCCACCCCGGGGGGCUCCGCCCUGAGCCCGGAAGGAGCUCGGGGGGCUCCACCCCCAGCCCAGGCACCUCCAGGCCUCUCCUCCCACCGGGCCGCGACCCCUCCGUGACCUCCACCACCACCACCACCACCCCCACCCCCUCCA